UACGUAGGGUGCAAGCGUUGUCCGGAAUUAUUGGGCGUAAAGAGCUCGUAGGCGGUCUGUCGCGUCGGCUGUGAAAACUCGGGGCUCAACCCCGAGCCUGCAGUCGAUACGGGCAGACUAGAGUGCUGUAGGGGAGACUGGAAUUCCUGGUGUAGCGGUGAAAUGCGCAGAUAUCAGGAGGAACACCGGUGGCGAAGGCGGGUCUCUGGGCAGUAACUGACGCUGAGGAGCGAAAGUGUGGGGAGCGAACAGGG
rnacentral:rRNA from 1 species